UUUCUAGGAACAUUUUUGGGAAUGUGGUAUUGAAUCAGCAGCCUAAUUUUUGGUUUAGUUUACCGAAUAACUUGAUAGCUAGCUUUUGCUAGGCUAACGCUUUUAGUUAAAGCUAGCUAGCCAAAAUUAAGUCAAUAUUGUGGCAAACAGAAAAUAAUAUUACAAAUGCGUAGUUAACUACUUUAAGUGGUCUUGGUUAUGGCAAGUCUGUGGCUAGGCGAGAUGCUAACCAGCUAGUUGCAUCGGGCUCGGGCUUUUAAAUGACGGGAAACAAGGCUUUUGCCAAGCUUGUUGACCAAACAAACCAAUGCAGGGUAUCAACUAGAGAACGACUGCCCCCUCGCCUUGAGGAUUUCAAGUUGAAGGCCGAUGGUUGAACUGCAUGCAUUCUUUCCUAAAACAGAAUCCCCAUUAUAGUUAAUGGAGAAAUUACGAUCUUCGUGGUCAAUAUUCGUGGAUAUAUACAAAAACAUCUAACAUGAUCAUUUUUCCAAAAAUCACCUGUAUUUCACCAGAUGUAUUUCAUUAACUUUAUCUGUGUGAUUUUAAAAGUAAGUAAUUUAGUUGCUAAUUGCAGCCUGUAGUACCUUCGGCCUUCAACGAGAUCAAAUCAAUGUUAUGUCACAUGCUCCGAAUACCUUACCGUUAAAUAUUUACUUACAAACCCUUAACCGACAAUGCAGUUAGUAAAAUAUUUACUAAAUAAAAUAGUUUAUAUACAGGGGGUACCGAGUCAAUGUGCGGUGAACAGGUUAGUCGAGGUAAUUUGUAGAUUGUAGGUAGGGGUAAAGUGACUCAAUGAGGGGGCAGCACUGGGCUGGCUUGCAACAUCACUUCAUAUAAUAGUUCAAAAAAUUGCAUAUGAUGUGACCAAGAACUGAGAAGAGGGUGCAUCCUAAUUGAAUAUCACAGUAUGAGUCAUAAAACCUAGCGGUAAAACCUGGAAAUGGUUCCAAUAGUUUUUUUCGUUAAGUGUUUUUAGAAAUACUUAAUAAACGGUGUGUUUCGUGUAAACCUACCCUGGCGUGACUCUGAUAACCGUGCAAAUCUCUCAGACAAGGUCAAUAAAAAACAUAUUCCCCUGUAAUUAACCCCCCCCCCCAAAAAAAGCCACAUGCAUUUCGUUAUCAUACUACACAAUCUUGUCGCAAACUUUGACAUCAACCCCAAGGAACAUUUCUCCAUACAUACUCAUUAAGUAGCAAGUAACCUAACAAAUAACGUACAUAUCGUAGCAUUUAUAGUUUCUCGUGUAAAUAAUUGACAUUAAGCAUCUGUGCUAUGUACGGGAUUGUAACCACAACUCCAAUAAGCAUACGUGCAUUUUUAAAAUCGUUUUCCGACCUCUAAGUGAAAGGCGUCGCUGGAGCCAUGUGACAAGAUGGAUGGACUGGAAACCCAGUGACAACACUCCGGUAUGUAGCUGUCAUUUUCUGGUGGGAAAAAGAAAUGGCCCUGUAAUUACCAGAAAAGGUAGCACAUCUACCAUGGCAGAAGAGGAAGAUUCAGACUGUUGAUUGGGAAACAAGAACAAAGGAUGAUGAAUGAGUAUUAUAAAAUAUGUUUUCUGUCCCGAUAAAGAUGGUGAUACAGCAUUGAAAAAGACCUACCACUGAACAAAUGUCUUUGUUUUUCAGUCCAACAGGAGUGCAUCCCUCAGGCCAUCCGGUGCAUGGACAGCCUGUGCCAGUGUGAUCCGGUUGUGGAGACUCAAGUAAAUCGAGCCUGUGGCCGGACAGCGGGGCAUGCAGAACGUCAGACUCACCCCACGAGAAGAAGUGCAUGAUCAACGCCACCCUCUGUAAGGGGAUCUGCUGGGAGUGAUGUACUCUCACUCUGGGUAUAGUCAGGGAUGACCGGGGCCUUCAGCAAGUAAGACACGGGGUAAGAAAUCAUUUGAACAUCACAGAAACAUAAAGACAUAAUUUAAAUAUCAUAGAUAUAAAUUCCCACUGUGCUCAUGAUAAAGUUAACCACUACUUGCCCUCCAAGACACCUACAACACCUGAUGUCACAGGAAGGCAAAAAAUGGGCCCAUGACCUGUUCACCCUGCUUCCAUCAAGAAGGCGAGGUCAGUACAGGCGCAUCAGAGCUGGGACAGAGCGAUAGAAGCUGUUUUUCAAUUUCAAGGCCAUCAGAUUGUUCAACAGCCACCACUAUCACAGAAAGGGUCGGCUGCCUCUCUACAGACUUGAUAUCAUUGGCUUUAAUAAAUGGAACAUUAGUCACUUUAAUAAUGCUACUUUAAGCAUGUGGCAGGGUAGCCUAGUGGUUAGUGUUGGACUAGUAACCGGAAGGUUGCAAGUUCAAAUCCCCGAGCUGACAAGGUACAAAUCUGUCGUUCUGCCCCUGAACAAGGCAGUUAACCCACUGUUCCUAGGCCGCCAUUGAAAGUAAGAAUUUGUUCUUAACUGACCUGCCUAGAUAAAUAAAGGUUAAAAAUAAAUAAAUGUUUACAGAUCUCGCAUUACUCAUCUCGAAUGUAUAUACUGUAUCUUUCAGCAUAUUGGCUGCUCUCACUGCUCAUCCAUAUUUUAUACUUACAUAUUGUCAUCCCAUUCUUUUACUAGAUUGUGUGUAUUAGGUUUUGUUGUGGAAUUUAGAUAUAACCUGUUAGAUACUGCUGUACUGUCGGCUCAAGAAGCAUAAGCUUUUCUCUACACUCGCAAUAACAUCUGCUAACCAUGUGUAUGUGACCAGUAACAUUUUAUUUUACACUACUUUCAUUGGCUGCUUUGAGCAAAACUUGUAAUGGACCUUGUUUUGUGAGCCGUGUGUAUGAACUAUGUGAAAUAUUUUUGCUGAAAACAGGUACUGGCAAGAGGAGCAAUACGAGUCUGCCAGAGUUUGUCAUGUUAUGGAGGCUUUGGUGGGCCACACAAUGAAGCAGGUUUCCCUUCCAGUGAUGUUGACCUUGGACCUGAUGCUAGUGAGGAUGGUGUUCAGAGGCUGAAAGAUCCCCCUUGAUAUAGAAAUCCUUUGACUUCACUGCCUCGAUGGUAAGGUCCCUUGCACCAUUGGGACACUUUACCAACACCAGUACUGUGGUGCCCACCAGACCAUCCGGUGAGGAUCCCAGACCCUGUGACCCAUAGCCCUGACUCCUGCACAUCCAUCCCUGUGGCCAUUUUUAAUGCAUUGAUGUGCUCUUUGUUAUCUGUGGCCCACUGUAGACGACACCCCAUCCAAUGACUGUGAACACCUUGAAAUGCAUUUGUUGUAAGGAAUGUGCUUUAUAAAUAAAGUAUGAUUUGAUUGACAUUACAGCUGUAAAAUAUUUAAUAAACUAACUUUCACAUGAGGACAA